ensembl:snoRNA
GGCCUUUUCCAGUUCGUAAGGUGAUGACUAGGAGUUCACACAUUUGCGUGUCAUGUGCCUCCCUUGAAUCUUGCUAUGCGUUUGGCACAUCACCCACAUGAUG